UAAUACGGAGGGUGCAAGCGUUGUUCGGAAUCACUGGGCGUAAAGCGCGUGUAGGCGGCCUCCUCAGUCUGGUGUGAAAGCCCGGGGCUCAACCCCGGAAGUGCAUUGGAUACUGGGAGGCUGGAGUACCGGAGAGGAGGGUGGAAUUCCUGGUGUAGCGGUGAAAUGCGUAGAUAUCAGGAGGAACACCGGUGGCGAAGGCGGCCCUCUGGACGGAUACUGACGCUGAGACGCGACAGCGUGGGGAGCAAACAGGAUUAGAUACCCUGGUAGUCCACGCCGUAAACGAUGGGCACUAGGUGUUCGGGGUAUUGACCCCCUGAGUGCCGCAGCUAACGCAUUAAGUGCCCCGCCUGGGGACUACGGCCGCAAGGCUA
rnacentral:rRNA from 1 species